AUGUGGGGGUUUCUUUUGCUGGUCUCUUUGAGAUCGGCUCCCCUAAAAUGCAUUAGCGGAACAAUUUGUUGACUCGUUCAUUGGUGUGAUAAUAUCUACGCUUUUGACGUGAAACAGGUUCAGCUUCUAACAGUCCAUUGACUUGGACAAUUUUUCAUUAAUGUGACCUCAAAUCAGGUAGGACUACCCGCUGAACUUAA
rnacentral:misc_RNA from 1 species